UACAGAGGUGGCAAGCGUUGUUCGGAAUUACUGGGCGUAAAGCGUGCGCAGGCGGUUCGUUAAGUCAGAUGUGAAAGCCCCGGGCUCAACCUGGGAACUGCAUUUGAAACUGGCGGGCUUGAGUAUGGCAGAGGGGGGUGGAAUUCCGCGUGUAGCAGUGAAAUGCGUAGAGAUGCGGAGGAACACCGAUGGCGAAGGCAGCCCCCUGGGCCAAUACUGACGCUCAGGCACGAAAGCGUGGGGAGCAAACAGG
rnacentral:rRNA from 1 species